AAGCGCUGGUUUUUCUUCAGAUCAUAUAAAUCUUUUGCCCUUUACUAAAGAUUUCUGUGAAGAGGAACAAUUCUGAGUCUUAAGCCAAUUUUUUGAGGCCUUGUCUCGGCAAGGCU
rnacentral:snRNA from 1 species